GAAUUUGAAGACAUCCACUUCUAUUUCACAACAUAAUCAGCUACUCGUUAUCUUGUUUUUAAUCAAGGGCCAUCCACAAAGUGGUAUUCAAUUAUUUUGAUUUCAUAUAUCUGUUAUAAAUUUUCAAUCAAGGACCAAUCGAAACAACAAAAACGACUAUUAUAAAUAUUCCUAUUGCAAUCCUCGAAGUCAAAUAAGUAGACUUCAAUGCAUGCUUGGUAGUAGUCUCAUUGCUGAUAGGAGCAUAUUUAUGCGCCUUAGUUUAGCUUGUUCUUGUGCAUUUAUAGUGUUUUUCCUUAGUAAAGUAGUCUUUUAAGCUAGUUUUAUGUGAUUUCAGGUUCUAAGGGCAAAAUAUGAAAAAGGAUGCAUUUUGGAGCCUUUUGGAGCAAUUUAGAGCUUGGAAUGGACAUCAUAUGCUUGGAGCCAAGAGGAUGGACGAAAUUGAAGAUUUGAAGAUGAUGUUUCCUAGUUGAAUUAGGAUUCCUAGUCAAAAUGGGUUUCCUAGUUGAAUUAGGAUUCCUUGAAGAUGAAGAUUCCUACUCAAACAAGGUUUCCUACUUGAGGUAGGAAAGUCAAAAUCCAAAUGGUCUCAAGUGAAGCAACAAAGAAGUUUUCCAAGUCCAAGAAGGAAAAGGAGUCCAAGAUGAAGAAGGAAUGACAAAGACAAGGUUUCCUAAUCCUAAUAGGCAAAGUUUCCAAGUGCAAUGAGGAAUCCUUAUCCAUUUAGGGCACCUUAUCCAUUUAGGAUACCUCAUCCUUGUUCUAGAAACCUUAUCCAUCCUUGCCGUGAGUUUUCCUUGCAUUAGAGGGUUUCUAGAAGCCCUAAUCUGCCCUAUCCUUUAGUGCCGCACCUAUCCCUUCUAGAAAACCGAUUUCCUUGCCUUGCAAGGCCAUCUAGAAGCCUUAUCCCUCUAAUCCAUCCCUGCCGCACCUAGGAGGACCUUUCCUACCCAAAAUCUGAUUGUUUUAAGCCCUUUCCUGAUGGGAUUUAAUCCUCCAAGUCCUAAUCUGAUUUGCUAGACUUUUAGGACCCUAUAAAUACAUGGUGCCGCACCCAUUCAUUCACACCACCUCUCAUACACAUUCAUUCAUUCCACAAAUUCAGAAAUUCGUCCAAACACCUCUCCACCCCUUUGCCGCACCAUCCCCAUCCCCUAAACACUACUACAUACAUCCAUAACCAUGCAUCCAUACACCUAAGGUCCUAAACCUGUCCCUAGACCCUUUUCCGCACCAAGGAGGAGGAGAAGGAAGCUGGGAAGUUCAUGCAAUUCAAGUUCGCGUUGCUGGAAUUUCUAGGUGUUUCUUUUCCUUUGAUUUCAAUGUUUAAAUUCAAUUCUCUUUGUUUCGUGCGUAUGAGGAACUAAACCCCCCUUGACUAGGGGGGAUUCGAAAUACAUGUUUAUGCUUGCGAUAUGAUUUGAUUACUUCUAAUUGCGUUUCAUA
rnacentral:lncRNA from 1 species